rnacentral:rRNA from 1 species
CGAAGGGUGCAAGCGUUACUCGGAAUUACUGGGCGUAAAGCGUGCGUAGGUGGUUGAUUAAGUCUGUCGUGAAAGCCCUGGCCUCAACCUGGGAAUUGCGAUGGAUACUGGCGAGCUAGAGUGUGUCAGAGGAUGGUGGAAUUCCCGGUGUAGCGGUGAAAUGCGUAGAGAUCGGGAGGAACAUCAGUGGCGAAGGCGGCCAUCUGGGACAACACUGACGCUGAAGCACGAAAGCGUGGGGAGCAAACAGGA